rnacentral:rRNA from 1 species
GACGAACGCUGGCGGCGUGCUUAACACAUGCAAGUCGAACGGAGUGGCGAACGGGUGAGUAACACGUGGGUGACCUGCCCUGCACUUCGGGAUAAGCCUGGGAAACUGGGUCUAAUACCGGAUAGUGUGGGAUGGGCCCGCGGCCUAUCAGCUUGUUGGUGGGGUAAUGGCCUACCAAGGCGGCGACGGGUAGCCGGCCUGAGCGGGUGGACGGCCACAUUGGGACUGGGGCACGGCCCAGACUCCGACGGGAGGCAGUAGGGGGGAAUAUUGCACAAUGGGCGGAAGUCUGAGGCAGAGACGCCGCGUGGGUGAUGACGGCCUUCGGGUUGUAAACUCCUGUAACCAUAGACGCGGUAGAUGGAGAAGAAGCACCGGCUAACUACGUGCCAGCAGCCGCGGUAAUUC